rnacentral:rRNA from 1 species
AUGGAGACAGCGACACCAAUGGAUGAAGAUGGAGAUCAUGUUAGCAUUUCAGACGAUGAAGGAGAAGAGGAUGAGGCUGAAGAGGUGCAUCCACAUCAACCAUCUAGUCGCAAGCUCACGUCAAAGGUUUGGUUGGACAUGAAGACGUUGAAGAUAAAUGGAGAAUGGAAGGCCAAGUGUAAUUGGUGUCAUAAGACACUUACGGCAGGAUCAAGGAAUGGUACUAAGCAUAUAAAGUUGCAUCUUCAGAGUUGCACUCUUAGGAAGUUGAAGACGAAGGAUGGUAAAACUUUGCAUCAAGCCUCAUUGAAGGUGAUGGCCGAGAAUGAUGGGAAAGUGAGCAUGGAGAGCUACACUUUUAAUCAAGAGUAUGCUAGAGCAGAGCUUGGGAACAUGUUGGUGUUGCAUGAUUAUCCUUUGUUUAUGGUGGACCAUGUUGGUUUUAGGAGAUUUGUUGCUGCACUUCACCCAUUGUUCAAGCCGCAUACUAGAAAUACUAUUAGGUAA